CUUAGAUCAAGGAUAGAAGUGGAGGUUAUAGGAUGUAAUAGGUUUCUGGCUUUUUUUUUUUUAAAAAAGAGAGCCACAGUAUUUCUGGUAAAGUGGAUCUGACACAUAGGCAUAGAAGGAAUGAAGGUUGAUCGCAAGAUUUUAACAAGUGCUUGGAAGGAGUGAGUAGUCUUUAAUAGCAGUGGGGAAAGUGGCCGAAUUCUGCUGACAUUUAAGGCUGAAAUGCAAUGUUCCCAAGUUCUUGUGACCAUCCCAAGUAAAACUACUUGAUAACAUUGUUUUGUCGAUACAGACAGAGGAAGGAAAAAUAAGAUAAGUUCUGUCUACAUUGAUUGUCAACAGACAUCUCACCAAAUCACUGCUGAACUGGAGCUAGAAGCCAAGAAUGGUUCCCAAGCCUAUGGUCAAGGAAAUUUACAGGCUUCAAGAUUACACCAAGCAAAAGACCCUGGUUGCAGUGGGUUCUGUUUGCUUUUCUUCUUUUGGAGUGACUCUUACAUAGGAUGAUAUGAAAAUGAAUUUCUGACCCUUUUUCUCAUAACUGGAGAUAUUAUUUCUACAAGUGUGAAGAUUGCAAGCAAUGUGUCUGCCUUCUUUGAUGCUGAAUUUAAAGGGAAAUAUAUGGUGUGUCAUGUUAUUUACAAAUGGACUGAGGGAACUGGAGCUGACAUUUCAUUGCAUGGUGACCUUAUUCCAAUAGAGAAAUAAGAUGGUGCAGUGCCAAGGAGCAGCAGCUCCGCAGGUGCAGGAGGGCCGAGAGGAGCUACUCCAUAUUCAAGGUCAGGAGAGGUGGGUGUGAGAAGACAUCUCUCAUCCAAGACUUUGAAGAUGAGAAAAGGGAGCCAUGAGCCAAGGAAUGUGAGUGGCCUCUAGAAACUGGAAAAGACACGUGAAACAGAUUCUCCCCUAGAUCCUCCACAAAGGGAACUCAGUCCUGUCAACGACUUAAUUUUAGCCCAGUGACACUUCUAUCAGACUCUGAUCUUCAGACCUGUUGCAUAAUAAACAUGUGCUUUUGUGCUGCGUAAGAC
ensembl:lncRNA